rnacentral:tRNA from 2 species
GGACCGUUAGCUCAAUUGGCAGAGCAAGUGACUCUUAAUCACUAGGUUGAAGGUUCGAUUCCUUCACGGUCCA